AACGAACGCUGGCGGCAGGCUUAACACAUGCAAGUCGAACGGGUGCAGCAAUGCAUCAGUGGCAGACGGGUGAGUAACACGUGGGAACCUUCCUAGGGGUACGGAACAACUCAGGGAAACUUGAGCUAAUACCGUAUACGUCCGUGAGGAGAAAAGAUUUAUCGCCCUUAGACGGGCCCGCGUCGGAUUAGCUAGUUGGUGGGGUAACGGCCUACCAAGGCGACGAUCCGUAGCUGAUCUUAGAGGAUGAUCAGCCACACUGGGACUGAGACACGGCCCAGACUCCUACGGGAGGCAGCAGUGGGGAAUCUUGGACAAUGGGCGCAAGCCUGAUCCAGCCAUGCCGCGUGAGUGAAGAAGGUCUUUCGGAUUUGUAAAGCUCUUUUGCCAGGGACGAUAAUGACGGUACCUGGAGAAUAAGCCCGGCAAACUUCGUGCCAGC
rnacentral:rRNA from 1 species